rnacentral:rRNA from 2 species
GGGUUGUGAGGUUAAGCGACUAAGCGUACACGGUGGAUGCCCUGGCAGUCAGAGGCGAUGAAGGGCGUGCUAAUCUGCGAUAAGCGCCGGUAAGGUGAUAUGAACCGUUAUAACCGGCGAUACCCGAAUGGGGAAACCCAGUGUGAUUCGUCACACUAUCAUUAACUGAAUCCAUAGGUUAAUGAGGCGAACCGGGGGAACUGAAACAUCUAAGUACCCCGAGGAAAAGAAAUCAACCGAGAUUCCCCCAGUAGCGGCGAGCGAACGGGGAGGAGCCCAGAGCCUGAAUCAGCAUGUGUGUUAGUGGAAGCGUCUGGAAAGGCGCGCGAUACAGGGUGACAGCCCCGUACACAAAAGCGCAUGUGCUGUGAGCUCGAUGAGUAGGGCGGGACACGUGGUAUCCUGUCUGAAUAUGGGGGGACCAUCCUCCAAGGCUAAAUACUCCUGACUGACCGAUAGUGAACCAGUACCGUGAGGGAAAGGCGAAAAGAACCCCGGCGAGGGGAGUGAAAAAGAACCUGAAACCGUGUACGUACAAGCAGUGGGAGCACCCUUUUGGGUGUGACUGCGUACCUUUUGUAUAAUGGGUCAGCGACUUAUAUUCUGUAGCAAGGUUAACCGAAUAGGGGAGCCGGAGGGAAACCGAGUCUUAAU